rnacentral:rRNA from 1 species
UACGUAGGGGGCAAGCGUUGUCCGGAUUUAUUGGGCGUAAAGAGCUCGUAGGCGGUGUGUCGCGUCGGCCGUGAAAACCUGCAGCUUAACUGUGGGCGUGCGGUCGAUACGGGCAUCACUGGAGUUCGGCAGGGGAGACUGGAAUUCCUGGUGUAGCGGUGGAAUGCGCAGAUAUCAGGAGGAACACCGAUGGCGAAGGCAGAUCUCUGGGCCGUAACUGACGCUGAGGAGCGAAAGCAUGGGGAGCGAACAGG